AGUGAACGCUGGCGGUAGGCCUAACACAUGCAAGUCGAACGGCAGCACAGUAAGAGCUUGCUCUUACGGGUGGCGAGUGGCGGACGGGUGAGGAAUACAUCGGAAUCUACUUUUUCGUGGGGGAUAACGUAGGGAAACUUACGCUAAUACCGCAUACGACCUACGGGUGAAAGCAGGGGAUCUUCGGACCUUGCGCGAUUGAAUGAGCCGAUGUCGGAUUAGCUAGUUGGCGGGGUAAAGGCCCACCAAGGCGACGAUCCGUAGCUGGUCUGAGAGGAUGAUCAGCCACACUGGAACUGGGACACGGUCCAGACUCCUACGGGAGGCAGCAGUGGGGAAUAUUGGACAAUGGGCGCAAGCCUGAUCCAGCCAUACCGCGUGGGUGAAGAAGGCCUUCGGGUUGUAAAGCCCUUUUGUUGGGAAAGAAAAGCAGCAGGUUAAUACCCCGCUGUUCUGACGGUACUCAAAGAAUAAGCACCGGCUAACUUCGUG
rnacentral:rRNA from 1 species